rnacentral:rRNA from 1 species
GUUAUAGGAUCAAGUGACUAAGUGCAUGCGGCGGAUGCCUUGGCGAUCACAGGCGAAGAAAGACGCGGCAGCCUGCGAAAAGCUGCGGGGAGCUGGCAAACGAGCUUUGAUCCGCAGAUAUCUGAAUGGGGGAACCCACACCGCAAGGUGUAUCCGUAACUGAAUACAUAGGUUACGGAGGCGAACGAGGAGAACUGAAACAUCUAAGUAUCCUCAGGAAAAGAAAUCAACCGAGAUUCCGGCAGUAGCGGCGAGCGAACCCGGAGGAGCCCAGCUUUUGAUAGUACGAACUUUAGCCGAAAGGACCUGGAAAGGCCUGCUAUAGUGGGUGAUAGCCCCGUAGGCGAAAGAGUUGGUACGGUACUAAGGAAGCGAGAAGUAGAGCGGGACACGUGGAAUCCUGUUCGAAGACGGGGGGACCAUCCUCCAAGGCUAAAUACUCGUGAUCGACCGAUAGUGAACCAGUACCGUGAGGGAAAGGCGAAAAGAACCCCGGGAGGGGAGUGAAAUAGAACCUGAAACCGCAUGCAUACAAACAGUAGGAGCCUUUACGGAGGUGACUGCGUACCUUUUGCAUAAUGGGUCAGCGACUUACAUUCUGUGGCGAGCUUAACCGAAUAGGGGAGGCGCAGCGAAAGCGAGUUCGAAAUGAGCGUUCAGUCGCAGGGUGUAGACCCGAAACCAGAUGAGCUAUCCAUGGCCAGGUUGAAGGUGUGGUAACACACACUGGAGGACCGAACCGACUAGUGUUGCAAAAUUAGCGGAUGAGCUGUGGAUAGGGGUGAAAGGCCAAACAAAUCUGGAGAUAGCUGGUUCUCCCCGAAAACUAUUGAGGUAGUGCCUCGUGUGUCGCUCCAGGGGGUAGAGCACUGUUUUGGCUAGGGGGACAUGGAGUCUUACCAAACCAAGGCAAACUCCGAAUACCUGGAAGCGUAAGCACGGGAGACAGAGCACCGGGUGCUAACGUCCGGACUCAAAAGGGAAACAACCCAGACCGCCGGCUAAGGUCCCAAAUAACAGCUAAGUGGAAAACGAAGUGGAAAGGCCGUGACAACCAGGAAGUUGGCUUAGAAGCAGCCAUCCUUCAAAGAAAGCGUAAUAGCUCACUGGUCGAGUCCUUCUGCGCGGAAGAUGUAACGGGGCUAAGCUGUUAACCGAAGCCGCGGAUGCGCUGGUAAUCCAGUGCGUGGUAGGGGAGCGUUCUGUAAGUCUGCGAAGGCGGUUCGAGAGGACUGCUGGAGAUAUCAGAAGUGCGAAUGCUGACAUGAGUAACGUUAAAGCAGGUGAAAAGCCUGCUCGCCGUAAGCCCAAGGAUUCCUGCUCUACGUUCAUCGGAGCAGGGUGAGUCGGCUCCUAAGGUCAGGCCGAAAGGCGUAGCCGAUGGGAAUCAGGUUAAUAUUCCUGAACCUGCGUCAGAUGCGAUGGGGGGACGGAGCAUGGAAGAUCAUCCGGGUGUUGGAAGUCCCGGUUGUUUAGCGUAGGAGGUCUGCAGGCAAAUCCGCAGACGCAUCUCCAAGGCAAAGACACGUGCCGCCACGGCGGCGAAGUGAUCGGAAGUGCUUCCAAGAAAAGCCUCUAAGCACCAGUCUGAUGCGGACCGUACCGCAAACCGACACUGGUGGGCGAGCUGAAUAUGCUCAGGCGCUUGAGAGAACUCGGGAGAAGGAACUCGGCAAAUUGACACCGUAACUUCGGAAGAAGGUGUGCCGUAGUACCGUGAGAGGAGAGACACCUUGAGCGGGAAACGGUCUCAGAGAAUAGGUGGCUGCGACUGUUUAUUAAAAACACAGCACUCUGCAAAGUCGAAAGACGACGUAUAGGGUGUGAUGCCUGCCCGGUGCUGGAAGAUUAAUUGAUGGGGUGAGAGCCCUUGAUCGAAGUCCCAGUAAACGGCGGCCGUAACUAUAACGGUCCUAAGGUAGCGAAAUUCCUUGUCGGGUAAGUUCCGACCUGCACGAAUGGCAUAACGAUGGCCACACUGUCUCCUCCCGAGACUCAGUGAAGUUGAAAUGUUUGUGAUGAUGCAAUCUACCCGCGGCUAGACGGAAAGACCCCAUGAACCUUUACUGCAGCUUUGCAUUGAACUGUGAACCGAUUUGUGUAGGAUAGGUGGGAGGCAGAGAAGAGGCCACGCCAGUGGUCUUGGAGCCGACCUUGAAAUACCACCCUGAUUUGUUUGCGGUUCUAACCACGGACAGUGAUCCUGUCUUGGGACCGUGCAUGGUAGGCAGUUUGACUGGGGCGGUCUCCUCCUAAAGGGUAACGGAGGAGUACGAAGGUACGCUAGGUACGGUCGGAAAUCGUGCUGAUAGUGCAAUGGCAAAAGCGUGCUUGACUGCGAGAGCAACAACUCGAGCAGAUGCGAAAGCAGGUCAUAGUGAUCCGGUGGCUCUGAAUGGAAGGGCCAUCGCUCAACGGAUAAAAGGUACUCUGGGGAUAACAGGCUGAUACCGCCCAAGAGUUCAUAUCGACGGCGGUGUUUGGCACCUCGAUGUCGGCUCAUCUCAUCCUGGGGCUGUAGUCGGUCCCAAGGGUAUGGCUGUUCGCCAUUUAAAGAGGUACGUGAGCUGGGUUUAAAACGUCGUGAGACAGUUUGGUCCCUAUCUGCCGUGGGCGUUGGAAGAUUGACGGGGGCUGCUCCUAGUACGAGAGGACCGGAGUGGACGCACCUCUGGUGUACCGGUUGUCACGCCAGUGGCAUUGCCGGGUAGCUAAGUGCGGAAGAGAUAACCGCUGAAAGCAUCUAAGCGGGAAACUUGCCUGAAGAUGAGUCUUCCCGGAGGUUGAACCUCCCUCAAGAGUCGUCCGAGACCAGGACGUCGAUAGGUCAGGUGUGUAAGCGCUGUAAGGCGUUGAGCUAACUGAUACUAAUUGCUCGUGAGGCUUGAUCCUAUAACC